rnacentral:rRNA from 1 species
CCAAUAGCGUAUAUUAAAGUUGUUGCAGUUAAAAAGCUCGUAGUUGAAUUUCGGAAUUUUUUUAUCGGUUGAACCAACAGGUUCGUACUGAUUUUAAGAAUUUCUACCUUCUGGAGAACCUUAAUGUCAUUUAUUUGAUGUUUUGGGAAACCAGGACUGUUACCUUGAAAAAAUUAGAGUGUUUAAAGCAGGCUUACGUCUGAAUAUAUUAGCAUGGAAUAAUGAAAUAGGACGGCAUGGUUCUAUUUUGUUGGUUUCUAGGAUCACCGUAAUGAUUAAUAGGGAUAGUUGGGGGCAUUAGUAUUCAAUUGUCAGAGGUGAAAUUCUUGGAUUUAUUGAAGACUAACUUCUGCGAAAGCAUUUGCCAAGGAUGUUUUCAUUAAUCAAGAACGAAAGUUAGGGGAUCGAAGACGAUCAGAUACCGUCGUAGUCUUAACCAUAAACUAUGCCGACUAGGAAUCGGACGAAGUUAAUUUUUUAAUGACUCGUUCGGCGCCUUACG